CCGUGCAUCGCGGGUGCCCAGUUACAGGCAGCACGCGUUCUGGGCGCACUAGCAUGUACCGCAAGUUGGAUGGGAGCGUCGCAUCUGGCGUGAAAGGCAAAACUAUCCGUCGAUCGUAUGUGGGAACUCCUUCUAAAGCAUUACCCUCGCAGACACAAUCGAACUGGCACCCCGUCUACGCAGUGAAGGUCCUCGUUCCGACCCGGACUGUCUUCGCGGUUACUGUAGGCAGAAGGACUAGACAAACGCAUCCCCACUAAAAAACCUGCGUAUCUUUGACUUCGCAGGUAGGAAUUCACUUUUUUCCUCGUGCUAAGCGGCUGCCAGUGACAAGCCGUUCGAAACCCAAUGGAGGAAGUCAUAUAGCACCCACACAGAUAUACGGGUAAAACGAAGUAGGGAAUGUAAAUGCUCGCCGUGCUCACAAACAAUCCCUGCGAGUCUCACCGUGGUGCUCUUUCUACAUGAACCGUGUAUGUUGCGAGGAACUCGACACAGCAUUCCAUCCUUGGUGACUGUGUUCAUGGUUCGUUGAUUUGGGAUCCGAAACUUCCAAAAAAGACGACUGUCGGCCUUUAAACAUGAAGUACAAUAUUGACGAUUCGCUU
rnacentral:lncRNA from 1 species